UGCUUUACACAUGCAAGUCGAGCGGCAGCGCGGGGGCAACCCUGGCGGCGAGCGGCGGACGGGUGAGUAAUAUAUCGGAACGUAUCCAGUAAUGGGGAAUAACCUAGCGAAAGUUAGGCUAAUACCGCAUACGCCCUGAGGGGGAAAGUGGGGGACCGUAAGGCCUCACGUUAUUGGAGCGGCCGAUAUCCGAUUAGCUUGUUGGUGAGGUAAAAGCUCACCAAGGCGACGAUCGGUAGCUGGUCUGAGAGGACGACCAGCCACACUGGGACUGAGACACGGCCCAGACUCCUACGGGAGGCAGCAGUGGGGAAUUUUGGACAACGGUCGCAAGCCUGAUCCAGCCAUUCCGCGUGAGUGAAGAAGGCCUUCGGGUUGUAAAGCUC
rnacentral:rRNA from 1 species